CCUCAUGUGAGGUCACAGGGCCCACCAUCACUCACCUCCCUUCACCUCAGUCACGUGGUCACAAGAAGGAUCAGAUAACCCUGAGCCAACCUCACCGCCCCUGUUCAGACCUGGAGCUGGUUUCCUCACAGAGGGCUCUGGAUAUGUUUCCCAGAAUCUGGAGCUGUAACACAGAUUCUAGGUGAUUCUGACACGGACUGCAUUGGAGAACUGCGGGUAGUGGUGAAAAAGAAGCUCUACAGUGGAAAGGUCUAGGUUGGAAUUCUGACUCUUCCACUUACUGGUUGUGUCUGGACUAAGAUCCUCAACACUGGGCCAAACCAUCUGGAAAAAAAAUAUUAAAAAAAAUCUCUCAAUCAAUCUGGCCCUUUGGCAAUACGAGGAUGGCACAUGAGUAUUCUGAGGGUCUAGCAACCUGCUCAGGAAAUGUUUAUGAAAUUGGACAUUUGUUGACUACUAUGUGACCCAGAAUCUAGGAUGUGACAAUCGCCAGGGCAAGUCGGGCAUAUAUGUGGUCCUGGGAGAUACAUAAUGUCCAACGCUCCCUCCCUGCUUUGAGAGGAUCUGAGGAUGAAAUGAAAUCCCGAAGAAAAAGACAUGGGCCCCACAGUGAUCUGUAUCCAACCAUUAGUGACCCCUUGGUAUAUGUGACUCAGUGGAGAGUGGAGACCAGCAUUAAAAAACACAUGAAGUACAAUAGAAUGGAACAGACAAGUCCAGUGACAAAUGGAGUGUGUCUCAUGCGGUAAAGGAAGAGGAUGAAGAGUAAAGGAUCUGUGGCGGAGCGAUGACGGAGGGUCAGCGAAGUUAGCAGGUCUGCGUGUUUUUUCUCCAAUCAACUGGAUGUAUUCUAGCGAUGUGUGGCUUGAACAAUGUUUUCUUCCCAGGAAACCUCUCUGCCAUCAAAUAUUCCUUUUAACUUCUGGCAGGCUUCAGCCUUAAAAGUUCAGAUUUUAUAUCUGCUUCUGGCUUAGAAUUUUGACUAUCAUCCAAGAAACAGCUGCCAAUACCUGCUGGGUUCUUAUUAAGACCCAUAAUUGGCAGCAUUAAAGCCUAUGGGUUCUGACAAUAGAAAACUUGAAGACCAGAGGAUCAUCUUGGAGUGAAAUAUCGCCUUUUAUAAUGGCCUAGUUUUGGAGGCAGAAACCUCCAAGAUGACUUCUGAGAUAUUUUUCCUAUUCACUUGAAUGGCAAACAAAGAUUUGAGAGGUAAAGCAUCAAGGAAAACAUACCACGGAAGUGUUUAAGCUGGACAUUACAGGGCUGUGGACAGCCAUGCAUUUGUUGGACGGCUGUUUGCAAGCUGACAUCAGUAACAAGACUUCCUUGGGAUCCGUCGCGACCUUGACAUCAGACAGUCCUUUCGCCCAAGCUGAUGAACCCACCAACCACAAGAACGAAAAGACUACGGUGACGAUGAAGUCCUACAGAAACAAAGAUAAAACAGUAAAAGAAGUGUGAAUUCUAGAAAUGAAUUGAUUACUUUGAAUGACUCUGUGGCUUGCUUUUUUGGAAAAUUCCUAGAUCUCAUAGAACUGGAACCAGGGAGAAGUUGUAAAACAAAUAAAAGCAUGGCACAUCUGAUUUGUUCUGGUUAGUUUUCUCUCAUGACGUGACUGAAUUACUUUUCUUCAGGAUCCCAGGAUCGAUUCUAAGGAAACAACUCUCACACUAAAUCAUUUUCACUAUUACAAAAAUGAAGCCAAACAGAAAACAUUUUUAAAGAGCACAAAGAAAGCUGCACCCCGUUCUGGAAAUAUACUAGACACAAGGAGACUUACGUGUCAAGAAUGACUUUCCAAAGCAGAUCACUGAUGGCAGAAGUAAAGCCUUUCUGGAAGUGAGACUAUAUGUGCUGGAUGACAAUCUUCUUGAUGAGAAUGAGCACAAUCCCACUGGCUUUUUAGGACCAGAGACUGCGGAGUGAAACCUUCUCCAUUCUAUAGAUGAGGAAGUUGGAGCUCAGUCAUCUUGAAAGAAUCAUCAAAGAUUACCCAGUUGGCAUAGAGAAGAGGCAAACUUGGAAAACAGCUUUAAGGAAGGUCAGUGGACCUGCACUCCUGUCUGCUAGACCUAAGAGCUGAUCUCCAGCUUCCUUACCUUCAGGAGAUCUCAGCCUUCGCUGAUCAGACCUUCAACUAAUUGGAUGGGAUCACUCAUAUCCUGGAGAAUACUGAUUUAAUUAAAGUCAACAGAUUGUAAAUGUCAAUCACAUCUAAAAAAAGACCCUUAUAGCACAUCUA